AUUGAACGCUGGCGGCAGGCCUAACACAUGCAAGUCGAGCGGUAGAGAGAAGCUUGCUUCUCUUGAGAGCGGCGGACGGGUGAGUAAUGCCUAGGAAUCUGCCUGGUAGUGGGGGAUAACGUUCGGAAACGGACGCUAAUACCGCAUACGUCCUACGGGAGAAAGCAGGGGACCUUCGGGCCUUGCGCUAUCAGAUGAGCCUAGGUCGGAUUAGCUAGUUGGUGGGGUAAUGGCUCACCAAGGCGACGAUCCGUAACUGGUCUGAGAGGAUGAUCAGUCACACUGGAACUGAGACACGGUCCAGACUCCUACGGGAGGGAGCAGUGGGGAAUAUUGGACAAUGGGCGAAAGCCUGAUCCAGCCAUGCCGCGUGUGUGAAGAAGGUCUUCGGAUUGUAAAGCACUUUAAGUUGGGAGGAAGGGUUGUAGAUUAAUACUCUGCAAUUUUGACGUUACCGACAGAAUAAGCACCGGCUAACUCUGUG
rnacentral:rRNA from 1 species